rnacentral:rRNA from 1 species
AUUGAAUGCUGGCGGAAUGCUUUACACAUGCAAGUCGAACGGCAGCACGGACUUCGGUCUGGUGGCGAGUGGCGAACGGGUGAGUAAUGUAUCGGAACGUGCCCAGUCGUGGGGGAUAACGUAGUGAAAAUUACGCUAAUACCGCAUACGAUCUAUGGAUGAAAGCGGGGGAUCGCAAGACCUCGCGCGAUUGGAGCGGCCGAUAUCAGAUUAGGUAGUUGGUGGGGUAAAGGCCCACCAAGCCAACGAUCGGUAGCUGGUCUAAGAGGACGACCAGCCACACUGGAACUGAGACACGGUCCAGACUCCUACGGGAUGCAGCAGUGGGGAAUUUUGGACAAUGGGCGAAAGCCUGAUCCAGCCGUUCCGCGUGCAGGAUGAAGGCCCUCGGGUUGUAAACUGCUUUUGUACAGAACGAAAAGGUUUCUACUAAUACUAGGAGCUCAUGACGGUACUGUAAGAAUAAGCACCGGCUAACUACGUGCCAGCCGCCGCGGUAA